AAGUAACUAAAUUGUCUUUAGUUUAUAGUGAAUGAGUUGGUGUUGUUGAGGUGUUUCUUAUGUUGUUUCUCAACAGUCACUUUGGAAAAAGACCAGCUGCAGUCCAGAUACGACAAACUGUACAAGAACUACAGCGAGCUGCAGGGACAACUUUUAGCAGCCAACAUCAGUCAGUUACAGAGCAGUUACGAGACACUGAGGAAAAAUCACAGCCAGUUACAGGAUGAAGUAAAGCAGCUGAAGGACAAACCUGAUGAGAAGUGGUGUCCUGAAGGAUGGAAGAGAUUUGGAUGCAGCUGUUACUUUAAAUCCAACGAGAAGAAAACUUGGUAUAACAGCCGAAGUGACUGUCAAAGGAAAGGAGCACAUCUGGUGAUCAUAAACAACAAAGAG